rnacentral:rRNA from 1 species
AUUGAACGCUGGCGGCAUGCUUUACACAUGCAAGUCGAACGGUAACAGGCCGCAAGGUGCUGACGAGUGGCGAACGGGUGAGUAAUGUAUCGGAACGUGCCCAGUCGUGGGGGAUAACGCAGCGAAAGCUGUGCUAAUACCGCAUACGAUCUAUGGAUGAAAGCGGGGGACCGUAAGGCCUCGCGCGAUUGGAGCGGCCGAUAUCAGAUUAGGUAGUUGGUGGGGUAAAGGCUCACCAAGCCGACGAUCUGUAGCUGGUCUGAGAGGACGACCAGCCACACUGGGACUGAGACACGGCCCAGACUCCUACGGGAGGCAGCAGUGGGGAAUUUUGGACAAUGGGCGCAAGCCUGAUCCAGCAAUGCCGCGUGCAGGAAGAAGGCCUUCGGGUUGUAAACUGCUUUUGUACGGAGCGAAAAGGCUCUCUCUAAUACAGGGGGCUCAUGACGGUACCGUAAGAAUAAGCACCGGCUAACUACGUGCCAGCCGCCGCUGUAA